rnacentral:rRNA from 1 species
UGAGGAAUAUUGGUCAAUGGACGAGAGUCUGAACCAGCCAAGUAGCGUGAAGGAUGAAGGUCCUACGGAUUGUAAACUUCUUUUAUAAGGGAAUAAACCCUCCCACGUGUGGGAGCUUGUAUGUACCUUAUGAAUAAGCAUCGGCUAACUCCGUGCCAGCAGCCGCGGUAAUACGGAGGAUGCGAGCGUUAUCCGGAUUUAUUGGGUUUAAAGGGAGCGCAGAUGGGUCGUUAAGUCAGCUGUGAAAGUUUGGGGCUCAACCUUGAAAUUGCAGUUGAUACUGGCGUCCUUGAGUGCGGUUGAGGUGUGCGGAAUUCGUGGUGUAGCGGUGAAAUGCUUAGAUAUCACGAAGAACUCCGAUUGCGAAGGCAGCACACUAAGCCGUAACUGACGUUCAUGCUCGAAAGUGUGGGUAUCAAACAGGAUUAGAUACCCUGGUAGUCCACACGGUAAACGAUGGAUACUCGCUGUUGGCGAUAUACGGUCAGCGGCUUAGCGAAAGCGUUAAGUAUCCCACCUGGGGAGUACGCCGGCAACGGUGAAACUCAAAGGAAUUGACGGGGGCCCGCACAAGCGGAGGAACAUGUGGUUUAAUUCGAUGAUACGCGAGGAACCUUACCCGGGCUUAAAUUGCAAAGGAAUUGCGUGGAAACAUGCAAGUCUUCGGACCUUUGUGAAGGUGCUGCAUGGUUGUCGUCAGCUCGUGCCGUGAGGUGUCGGCUUAAGUGCCAUAACGAGCGCAACCCUCGCCGCCAGUUACUAACAGUUAAAGCUGAGGACUCUGGCGGGACUGCCAUCGUAAGAUGUGAGGAAGGUGGGGAUGACGUCAAAUCAGCACGGCCCUUACGUCCGGGGCUACACACGUGUUACAAUGGGCGGUACAGAAGGCAGCUACCUGGCGACAGGAUGCCAAUCCCUAAAGCCGCUCUCAGUUCGGACUGGAGUCUGCAACCCGACUCCACGAAGCUGGAUUCGCUAGUAAUCGCGCAUCAGCCACGGCGCGGUGAAUACGUUCCC